rnacentral:lncRNA from 1 species
AGGCUCAUGCUCAUUCCGCCUUUGUUGACAGAGUACCUAGCAGGGCACAGAGGGGCACCAGGACAAUGCAGAGAAAAGGCUAGUACCUCCCUUCACAAACCAACCCAAACCAAAAGACACGGACCCAAGCCCAAGAACUAUGGCAGUGGACAGGCUGAAAAGAAACCAGAACUUCCUCGUUGGAAGGGCCCAUCCUGGCUGGAAGUGAACAGGAAGGACCUCAUGCCACCUCUGUGGUGCCUGCUCAUCACUUCCCUAGAGAAAGGGCCUGGCCAGGUGACUCUCCCCUCUUCUGGGACCCAGGGACAAGUGAGACAGGCUCAGAAAAUUGAGUCUGGGAGGGGCAGGAGAGAGCUUGCUUCAGGAAAUGACAGUCCCCUUGCUCACAGUCGGAGUACCAAUGAAUCUGUUGUCUUCCAGCAGCUGCUGCCUGCAUCUUUACUCUUCUCUCCGGACAGGACCUCAGCCAAAAGCUCCCACUGUUACCUUUAAAGUUUUAUUUAUUUAUUUGUUUGUUUGUUUAUUGGUACCAGGGAUCAAACUCGGGACCUUGCACUUCCCAGGCAGGCGGUGGCACCCCUGAGCUAAAUCCUGACCCUGUCACCUUUAAAGUUUGAGUGCCCCCUAUUCACUCCACCUGCUCCACGUCUGGGAUCUCCAUCACCCUCUUUCUGCGUUCACGGUGGGGUGCCCUGGUCCCUUCCCCCAUUCCACUAGGUUUCCAGAGCCUCCCUCCUUCAACUCCUUGAUGUCAAGAUGGAACCCCCUUCACCUAUCCAAACCCUGCUGUGCUCAGUGCUCAUUCUGAUGAAACUGCCAAACCACAAAGUGGGGAAAGGAGGCAGGAGGCAGCUCUUUGAAGAGACCAUAACUGGAGCCAGGUGUGGUAGUAAACUCCUAAUGUCCCAGCAUGUGGGAGGCUGAGGCAGGAAGGUCAAGAGUUUGAGGCCAGCCUGGGCUACAUGGUAAAUUCAGGCCAGCUUGGACUGCAUAGCAAGACCUGUCCAAGAAAAAAAAAAAGCUGGGUGUGGGGGCACACACCUGUAACCCUGGCAGGAGGAUCACAAGUUCAAGCCCAACCAGGGCAACUCAGCAACUUAGUGAGCCUGCUUCAAAGUAAAAGGGGCUGAGGGUGGGGCUCAGUGUGAAGGCCUUGGACUCAAUCAAUUCCCAGUCCAAUACCACAAAAUAAAUAAAAUAAAAAAGACAAAGACACCAUAAUGUGGGUACACAUCCUUUCAGGCAAGUUUCUCCUUCCGAAGCAGAGCUGCCAGCUACCUUCUAGGCCCUCCUGUACCCCAUUUCUCUAGGGACCCAGUGUGUCUCUGGGCCUCAGAGCUCCCCUUGCUUUAACACACACACCACGCGGCCACGGUAAUCCAUAGUACAAGCCCGUAGCCGGGUCUCACGCAGGGACUCUGCCUCCUGCCUGUGACUCAAAACCCGCUCUCCUUCACCCACACGGCCCACGCCGUCCCAUCCCAGUCCCACUUCCCCGCAGGUCGCAGGUCGCAGGUCGCAGGUCGGGCCAGACGCGGAUUCCCCAGCUUAUGUGACUGCCCGCCUCUCCCUGGCUCCCGAGGAGGAGAGUGAAGCCCUUCCUCUUUUCUUGAGCUCCAAAGAGAGCUGGGUUGUGCUGUAUGCUGCUUUUGUGGUCUUCUACUCCUGUGCCUGCUGCCAGAUAAAUUAUAAAUAAGCCCCGGCGUGACCGUGAUCGGCCGGCAGAGACUGAAGGAGCCGAGAGCUUCUAAUUAAUGCACCGGGGCAGCCUCCCCAGCUAGUCGCCUUGGAGCUGCGUUUCCAUCCCGCGGUGGAGGGACCUGGAGUAGCGUUCGAGGGGCUGCCCCAGGGUGUUGUCAGGGGUCCACAGGCCCACCGUGUUCUGCUCGUGGGAAAGGGACCCGGGAAGACCACAGAGGGGGUACCAGGCACAGUGACAGCGCACUGUGGUGGCAGGCAGGACGCAGAGUCCGCCCCUCAGGAGCCAACCCGGACUCUGCCCUCGGGGUGGCACUCCACCCUCUGCUCGGAGCCCCCCAGACAUGAACUGUGGUCCCGAGGCCCACCCAGGAAGGCAACGAUGGGGGGCCUCGGGAAAGUCACCGGGACCACCAGCCCUGUGACGGCCAGCAUCCAGGCCCAGUUCUCUUCCACACAGCACCCCAGGCCCUCCGUGACCCUACUCCUCACAAGCUGUGCCACGGACCCAGGGGUCCGGGCUCAGAUUUGGCUGGGUGAGCCCGCCUCGGCCUCUCCCGCCAGGCUGAGGUCCGACUCCAGCCCCCACCCCCACCCCCAGCUCCUUCCCUCCC